rnacentral:lncRNA from 1 species
AACUUGAUGAUUUCUUUUUACAAUUCAAGUUGGUAACAUCCCCAUACAGUACCUCUAUGGGGCAUUUCACAUCCAAAGUCAUCCUCUUUUUUUUAGGAAAAAGAAAAGGGCCUCAGAUACUUUACAGAUGCAGGUACUAUACAGACUCAGGUAAUAUACAGACUCAUGUACUAUACAGACUCAGGUACUAUACAGACUCAGGUACUAUACAGACUCAGGUACUAUACAGACUCAGGUAAUAUACAGACUCAGGUACUAUACAGACUCAGGUACUAUACAGACUCAGGUACUAUACAGACUCAGGUACUAUACAGACUCAGGUAAUAUACAGACUCCCACAAUGAAUUAUUAUUCUUUAUAAACAACAACCUUACAGUCUGGAAAGUUUUUAUUUUCAAAUAUCCUUCAUUGUCCAGGUAAAUAUGGUAUUACUCAUUGGAAAGCAUUGCUUGUGAUGAAGAGAUCUGCAAAACAACACAUUAGAAAGGACUGCAGGACUUUUUUUUCCUGGAGACGUAUGUCCAACAACGGGUUGCAACCAGCCAUUCUGAGCCCAACCGUUCAUGUUGGAAUCUCCUUCCUUCCCUAUGAGC